rnacentral:lncRNA from 1 species
GAUGAAGGUGGCAACCAGGGCAAUGCCCCUGUGGAAUCACAUCUCCUUCAUUUGAAUGGGCCUCUGUCAUCUUCCUGUUCCCAGCUGAGCUCUGCCUGGUGAUCUUUAAAGGCCUUUGAUUUGGAACUGAAGAAGCUGGCAGAGAGCGUAGAGCUAAGCUAACCCCACCCUCAUGAAUUAAAUCAUCUUUGAACCUCUAAUUUGGGAUGACUUGGUGACUGAUGCCAGUUGUCUGAUUGUGUGUCCCUGGUCUCUAAGGAUAGGGGCGAUUUGGUGUGAUUCAGUUGUUAAGAUAAGUAGGAGGGUCUGUUUCUUGUUUUUGGCCCAAUGAAUGUGGUUUAAAAGCAGAUUGUGUUUAGUAGAAAGAGCCAGGAUUUUGGGAAAGGAUGUGUAUAUUAAACCUCUUAUUCUGUUAUUUGCAGCAGGAUUUUGCCCAGGUGUUUUAAUCUGGUGCAUCGUCAUUUCUCUCCCAUGUAAACUGAGUAGCUUCAUCUGUGGAGUUGCUUGCCUUGGAGUGGGGAUAAGGGGUCACCAGACUGUCAUCUCUCCCUGGGGUAGGGUACAUGGCUGUUCUCCAUUGCUAAGAAGACUGAGGUUUGCUGCGGCCAGGGAAAGGAGGUGUCCUUCCUGUACCCCACACCAUCCUUCUGCUAGAAGAAAGUUUCUUUUCCAUCCCAUGGAAGCCACUUCCGGAGACAAGCUUCAGGAGAAAAGGAAAAGCAGAUGUCAGCCUGUGACACAGAAUAAUCGAUUUGCUCAGUGCUUCUAUUUUCCUACCAAUUUUGUAUUUUUCAAAAAGGACAAUAAAACAAUUGUACUCUCGGCUAAUUAAUGACAAGCUGGUAAAAGCAUCUCCUCAUUGUUCCAUUUAUUUCUCCAUUUCUCCCAGUUAACAGCCCUGUCUCUGAAAUGAAUCAAUGUCGUUUACACAAUGCUGUCACCCCAUUGUUC